AGGACGAACGCUGGCGGCGUGCUUAACACAUGCAAGUCACGGGGGCUCGCAAGAGCAACCGGCGAACGGGUGCGUAACACGUGAGCAAUCUGCCGAUUUCUGGGGGAUAGCCGGCCCAACGGCCGGGUAAUACCGCAUACGUUCUCGAGGGGGAGUCCCCUUGGGAAGAAACCUCCGGGGGGAAAUCGAGGAGCUCGCGGCCUAUCAGCUAGUUGGCGGUGUAAUGGACCACCAAGGCUAUGACGGGUAGC
rnacentral:rRNA from 1 species